CGAAGUCUGGUGCCAGCAGCCGCGGUAAUUCCAGCUCCAAUAGCGUAUAUUAAAGUUGUUGCAGUUAAAAAGCUCGUAGUUGAAUUUCGGGGUUAGUAGGUUGGUCAUGCCUCCGGUAUGUACUGAUCUCACUGAUUCCUCCUUCCUUAUGAACCGUAAUGCCAUUAAUUUGGUGUUGCGGGAAAUUUGGACUGUUACUUUGAAAAAAUUAGAGUGUUUAAAGCAAGCUAACGCUUGAAUACAUUAGCAUGGAAUAAUGAAAUAGGACGUUCGAUCUUAUUUUAGUUGGUUUCUAGGGAUUGACGUAAUGAUUAAUAGGGAUAUUGGGGGCAUUAGUAUUCAAUUGUCAGAGGUGAAAUUCUUGGAUUUAUUGAAGACUAACUACUGCGAAAGCAUUUGCCAAGGAUGUUUUCAUUAAUCAAGAACGAAAGUUAGGGGGAUCGAAGACGAUCAGAUACCGUCGUAGUCUUAACCAUAAACUAUGCCGACUAGGGGAUCGGAUGAUGUUAAUUUUUUAAUGACUCAUUCGGCGCCUUACGG
rnacentral:rRNA from 1 species